AUUGAACGCUGGCGGCAGGCCUAACACAUGCAAGUCGAACGGUAACAGGAAGCAGCUUGCUGCUUCGCUGACGAGUGGCGGACGGGUGAGUAAUGUCUGGGAAACUGCCUGAUGGAGGGGGAUAACUACUGGAAACGGUAGCUAAUACCGCAUAACGUCGCAAGACCAAAGAGGGGGACCUUAGGGCAUCUUGCCAUCGGAUGUGCCCAGAUGGGAUUAGCUAGUAGGUGGGGUAACGGCUCACCUAGGCGACGAUCCCUAGCUGGUCUGAGAGGAUGACCGGCCACACUGGAACUGAGACACGGUCCAGACUCCUACGGGAGGCAGCAGUGGGGAAUAUUGCACAAUGGGCGCAAGCCUGAUGCAGCCAUGCCGCGUGUAUGAAGAAGGCCUUCGGGUUGUAAAGUACUUUCAGCGGGGAGGAAGGGAGUAAAGUUAAUACCUUGGCUCAUUGACGUUACCCGCAGAAGAAGCACCGGCUAACUCCGUG
rnacentral:rRNA from 1 species